ensembl:lincRNA
UGAAGGAAUUCAGGACCUAGAGAAGACGGGAUGAGGUUAGAGUUAGGCUUCCCUGGAAGCUUCCUCCUACCCUCCGGGCCUCUCACCUCUACUGAAUAGCAUCUCUCCAGAAUGAAGGCAAGAGGUGUGGGGAAGGAGGGAGGAAGAAUCAAAAGCGACAGGGAUGUAGAUGCAGCCAGGUCUUCAAGAAGGAGAACUGUGUGGGAAGAAAGGGAGUAACAGGACCGCCAAAUGAAAUUAAGAGGUUCAAUAAUAAGGAAAUCUGUGCUUCAGGCCCUCACAGAGCCCUGGAGAAACACUGAGUUCACUGAUAAGUCCGCUGGUAAGAAAUGUUAGCAAGCUCUAUCCAGGAGGAUUGGGCCUCUGCCAGCCUCACUAACAGAAUGUUCUAAUGUUCUUGAGAGUAAUCCAGAAGGAGACAGGCCUUGGUGCCCUAAACUUUGCCUUUGCCCAGCAUGGCCUUGGAGCAUAAAUUUCUGCAUACUCAGAAGGGUACCAAAGUAAGGAAUUUUGCAAAGAUGGGAAUGAGAGUGAUAUUAGAUCUAUCUGUCUAGACAGACAACCAAAGAAACAGAGAAGACAAUGGACAUCCAGUGGAGGCCAGCAAGAAUAGGUUUGUCAAGACGAUUCAAGACUUUUCCAGGUUUUCAGAAGAGAAGCUUCCUCUUUUCCUGGAGUGUGUGGUGUAAACGCACAGGAGGCCUGGGACCCUGGCAGCCAUUUAGCCCCCAUGUGAGAAGCAGCCCAAGACACAAGGAACACACAGCUGAAAGAACCAAGAGAAAUCAAGCCGAAGCACUGAAACAAACCACAGUUGAAAACAGAUCUACCCCAGAACUUUUCACUAAUAUAAGCAAAUAUAUUCCCCUUCAGUGUGCUUUUUUUGCAACCCAAAUUAUCCUGAGACAUCAGUUUAAUUCUAUAUUCAAGAAGCAAGCCUAAUACAGAAUGUAAAGAAAAUCUGAAAAUAAAAGCAUACAGAAUACUGCAUCAGAUAAAUGUAUGCAAACAGAAAGCAGGAUGGCAAACUCAAAAUUAAAUAAGUUUUUUUGGUAGGUACCGGAGAUUGGUCCUGGGACCCCCUACAUGUGAAGCAGGCUCUCAACCACUGAGCUACAUCCACUCCCCAAGUUAAGUAAGAAUUCAAGAUCAAAGUCCUUAAGAAAAAGAGGUAUAAUAUGAAAUACACGAAAAUACAAUUUAUGAAUUCUUGAACACUACAAAUUAUAGCAGCAAAAUCCAGAAAGCAAAACUGUGAAAAAGGCAAGGAAUUCCUUCAUAAAAAUUAGCCAUGUUGGCGAAUUUUCAAUAAAAAUUUGAACACCAGACAAAAUAUUUUGAUAAUUAGAUUCUCCCUCUUUUUUGUAUCAUCAAAUUACCUGUCUACUGGCUCUUUCCCAUACAAGUAUGUUAUUAUUUCUCCUAUCUUAUAAAUUUGUAAAAUUACCAUAUGACCAUGUAAACCCACUCCUAGCUAUAUACCCCAAAGAAUUGAAAUAAGGGUUCCAAAUAUUUGUGCACUAAUGUUGAUAAAGGUAUUAUUCACAAUUGCCUUGAGGUGGUAGCUAUCCU